rnacentral:rRNA from 1 species
GUAACGGGGUGUUAGGGCACGACACCGGAGAGGGAGCCUGAGAAACGGCUACCACAUCCAAGGAAGGCAGCAGGCGCGCAAAUUACCCAAUCCCGACACGGGGAGGUAGUGACAAUAAAUAACAAUACAGGGCUCUUUUGGGUCUUGUAAUUGGAAUGAGUACAAUUUAAAUCUCUUAACGAGGAACAAUUGGAGGGCAAGUCUGGUGCCAGCAGCCGCGGUAAUUCCAGCUCCAAUAGCGUAUAUUAAAGUUGUUGCAGUUAAAAAGCUCGUAGUUGAAUUCCGGGAUCAAUAUGUCGGUCGUGCCUUCGGUACGCACUGGUAUCAUUGGUUUCUCCUUUCUGACGAACCAUGAUGUCAUUAAUUUGGUGUUAUGGGGAGUUAGGACUGUUACUUUGAAAAAAUUAGAGUGUUUAAAGCAGGCUUUAGCUUGAAUACAUUAGCAUGGAAUAAUGAAAUAGGACGUUCGAACCUAUUUUGUUGGUUUCUAGGAUCAACGUAAUGAUUAAUAGGGAUAGUUGGGGGCAUUAGUAUUCAAUUGUCAGAGGUGAAAUUCUUGGAUUUAUUGAAGACUAACUACUGCGAAAGCAUUUGCCAAGGAUGUUUUCAUUAAUCAAGAACGAAAGUUAGGGGAUCGAAGACGAUCAGAUACC